CUAACAACAACAACCCCGAGCAGCCGAAGUGAAGGAAGAAAGUUUUUAAUAAUUGAUAACGAAAAUGCCGUUUGAACGAGUCGCCGGCAGCUACUUUGCCACUGCGCCUUGUUGAGUGGCUGCAAGGGGAGUGCUGAAUCUGUUCGCUUCAGUGUUGUGAUUCCACCAAGUCUGCUCCCACUCGUCACAUCAAUAACCCUGACAACUUCGCCAUAUGGUUU
rnacentral:misc_RNA from 1 species